rnacentral:rRNA from 1 species
UGAAUACGAGACGCUAAGGCGUCGAAGUAGUGUAUGUCAUACUUCCAAGAAAAGCUUGCACUGUCAUAGAUAAAAAACGCCUGUACCAUAACCGACACAGGUGGGUAGGUAGAGUAUACUAAGGGGCGCGAGAUAACUCUCUCUAAGGAACUCGGCAAAAUAACUCCGUAACUUCGGGAGAAGGAGUGCCUUAUUCGUAAGGUUGCAAUAACAAGAUCCAAGCAACUGUUUAUCAAAAACACAGGUCUCCGCUAAGUCGUAAGACGAUGUAUGGGGGCUGACGCCUGCCCAGUGCCAGAAGGUUAAAGAAGUUGGUUAGCAAUUGCGAAGCUGAUAACUGAAGCCCUGGUGAACGGCGGCCGUAACGAUAACGGUCCUAAGGUAGCGAAAUUCCUUGUCGGGUAAGUUCCGACCCGCACGAAAGGCGUAAUGAUUUGGAUACUGUCUCGGAGAGGGGCUCGGUGAAAUAGACUUGUCUGUGAAGAUGCGGACUACCUGCACCAGGACAGAAAGACCCUAUGAAGCUUUACUGUAACUUGAAAUUGAAAUUGGACUUUAUUCGCGCAGUAUAGGUGGGAGGCGUUGAUUAUAAUCUUGUGGGAUUAUUGGAGCCAUCAGUGAGAUACCACUCUUGUAAUGUUAGAUUUCUAACUUUGAAUCAUUAUCUGGUCAAAGAACAGUUUCAGGCGGGCAGUUUGACUGGGGCGGUCGCCUCCUAAACGGUAACGGAGGCGUACAAAGGUUUCCUCUGAACGGUUAGAAAUCGUAUCUAGAGUGUAAAGGCAUAAGGAGGCUUGACUGUGAGACCUACAAGUCGAGCAGGGACGAAAGUCGGUCUUAGUGAUCUGACGGUACUGAGUGGAAAGGCCGUCACUCAACGGAUAAAAGUUACUCUAAGGAUAACAGGCUGAUCUCCCCCAAGAGUUCACACCGACGGGGAGGUUUGGCACCUCGAUGUCGGCUCAUCGCAUCCUGGGGCGGUAGUACGUCCCAAGGGUUGGGCUGUUCGCCCAUGAAAGCGGUACGCGAGCUGGGUUCAGAACGUCGUGAGACAGUUCGGUCCAUAUCCGGUGUAGGCGUUAGAAUAUUGAGAGGAGCCUUCUUUAGUACGAGAGGACCGAGAAGGACAUACCUCUGGUGUACCAGUUAUCGUGCCAACGGUAAACGCUGGGUAGCUAUGUAUGGAGUGGAUAACCGCUGAAAGCAUCUAAGUGGGAAGCCCACCUCAAGAUAAGUAUUCUCA